rnacentral:tRNA from 1 species
GGAUCUGUGGCGCAACUUGGACAGCGCGCCUGGCUUCGGACCAGGCGGUUGCGGGUUCAAAUCCCGCCAGAUCCG